GAUGAACGCUGGCGGCGUGCCUAAUACAUGCAAGUCGAGCGAACGGACGAGAAGCUUGCUUCUCUGAUGUUAGCGGCGGACGGGUGAGUAACACGUGGAUAACCUACCUAUAAGACUGGGAUAACUUCGGGAAACCGUAGCUAAUACCGGAUAAUAUUUUGAACCGCAUGGUUCAAAAGUGAAAGACGGUCUUGCUGUCACUUAUAGAUGGAUCCGCGCUGCAUUAGCUAGUUGGUAAGGUAACGGCUUACCAAGGCAACGAUGCAUAGCCGACCUGAGAGGGUGAUCGGCCACACUGGAACUGAGACACGGUCCAGACUCCUACGGGAGGCAGCAGUAGGGAAUCUUCCGCAAUGGGCGAAAGCCUGACGGAGCAACGCCGCGUGAGUGAUGAAGGUCUUCGGAUCGUAAAACUCUGUUAUUAGGGAAGAACAUAUGUGUAAGUAACUGUGCACAUCUUGACGGUACCUAAUCAGAAAGCCACGGCUAUCUACGUG
rnacentral:rRNA from 1 species